AUUGAACGCUGGCGGCAUGCUUUACACAUGCAAGUCGAACGGCAGCGCGGGCUUCUUGCUGGCGGCGAGUGGCGAACGGGGGAGUAAUACAUCGGAGCGUGCCCAGUAUUGGGGGGGGGCCCGGCGAAAGCCGGAGUAAUACCACAUACUACCAGAGUUUGAAACCGGGGGACCGAAAGGCCUCGCCGGAUUUGGGCGGCCGAUUCCGGGUUGGCUAGUUGGUGGGUUAAGGGGUUACCAAGGCGGGCAUCCGUAGCUGGUCUGACAGGGCGACCAGCCACACUGGAACUGAGACACGGCCCAGACUCCUACGGGAGGCAGCAGUGGGGAAUGUUGGACAAUGGGGGCAAACCUGAUCCAGCGAUGCCGCGUGAGGGACGAAGGCCUUCGGGUUGUAAACCGCUUUUGUUAGGGAAGAACUCCUCUGGGCUAAUACCCCGGGGGGAUGACGGUACCGGAAGAAUAAGCACCGGCUAACUACGUG
rnacentral:rRNA from 1 species